rnacentral:rRNA from 1 species
UACGGAGGAUGCGAGCGUUAUCCGGAUUUAUUGGGUUUAAAGGGUGCGUAGGCGGAUCGUUAAGUCAGUGGUCAAAUUGAGGGGCUCAACCCCUUCCCGCCAUUGAAACUGGCGAUCUUGAGUGGAAGAGAAGUAUGCGGAAUGCGUGGUGUAGCGGUGAAAUGCAUAGAUAUCACGCAGAACCCCGAUUGCGAAGACAGCAUGCCGGCUUCCGACUGACGCUGAAGCACGAAAGCGUGGGGAUCGAACAGG